GCCCGGAUAGCUCAGCGGGAGAGCGCCCCGGUCACAGCGGGGAGGUCCCAGGUUCGAUCCCUGGUUCGGGCAC
rnacentral:tRNA from 1 species